UUGUGCUGUUUGUAGGGGGCCAGCUUGACGGAGCGAGCAUUCUGCGGUUUUUCCCCGGUAAAGCAAGAACAGACGAUAACUGAGGUAGCACGCAAAUAGUUUCCAGUGAUUAAAAAUGGAAAAAGCUACAAUCCUAGUGUUUUGAUUUGGAGUGGCUGCUAACAUCUCUCACCUGAAGAGAAGAAAGGACACAUUCACUGCUGCUCGCCUACAGAGAAAAAGCGCUAUCUUCUCACUCUGGAAGACAACAGAGAGGCUAACCACGCACAGCUGACACCCAGGGAGAGGCUGAUGUGUUGGUGGCGUGUUCUCAUGCAUGGAACUGCAAGAGAGCGGUUUAUGCAGUGAAGACUAGUCUAGUCACACAGAUUACCUGUCACUGUUAGUUUGAGCUGCUUGUUUACCCUGGAGAGAAGAACCAAGACGGUCAGAGCGAGUGACUAGAGCCGUGCUGCACAUCCCACUGACAAUACCUGAAGACUGCCUUAUCUUGGUGAAAGCCAAGGAACAAAGAUGGAGUCUGUUUACGUUAAACAGAAGGGUGUUCUGGAAUUGUUUCCUUUCCACAUUAAGGAAGAGACUGAGCUGGAGCCUGUCCACAUUAAAGAAGAGACUGAACUGGAGCCUGUCCACAUUAAGGAAGAGACUGAACUGGAGCCUGUCCACAUUAAGGAAGAGACUGAACUGGAGCCUGUCCAAAUUAAAGAAGAGACUGAGUUGGAGCCAUUCUACAUUAAAGUAGUGACUGAACUUGAGCCUGUCCACAUUAAAGAGGAAGAGACUGAACUUUAUCCUGUCCACAUUAAAGAGGAAGAGACUGAACUU